rnacentral:rRNA from 1 species
UACGUAGGGGGCGAGCGUUGUCCGAAGUUACUGGGCGUAAAGCGCGCGUAGGCGGGAAAUUAAGUGAGAAGUGAAAGGCUGGGGCUCAACCUCAUGCAGUGCUUCUCAUACUGGUUUUCUUGAGGGCGGUAGAGAAAAGUGGAAUGGCUGGUGUAGCGGUGAAAUGCGUAGAUAUCAGUCGGAACACCGGUGGCGAAGGCGGCUUUUUGGGCCGUUCCGUGACGCUGAGGCGCGAAGGCCAGGGGAGCGAACGGG